UGGGGAAUAUUGGACAAUGGGCGCAAGCCUGAUCCAGCCAUGCCGCGUGAGUGAUGAAGGCCCUAGGGUUGUAAAGCUCUUUCACCGGUGAAGAUAAUGACGGUAACCGGAGAAGAAGCGCCGGCUAACUUCGUGCCAGCAGCCGCGGUAAUACGAAGGGGGCUAGCGUUGUUCGGAUUUACUGGGCGUAAAGCGCACGUAGGCGGACUAUUAAGUCAGGGGUGAAAUCCCGGGGCUCAACCCCGGAACUGCCUUUGAUACUGGUAGUCUUGAGUUCGAAAGAGGUGAGUGGAAUUCCGAGUGUAGAGGUGAAAUUCGUAGAUAUUCGGGGGAACACCAGUGGCGAAGGCGGCUCACUGGCUCGAUACUGACGCUGAGGUGCGAAAGCGUGGGGAGCAAACAGG
rnacentral:rRNA from 1 species